rnacentral:rRNA from 1 species
UCUGGUGAUAAUGACGAUAAGGAAACACCUGUACCCAUCCCGAACACAGAAGUUAAGCUUAUCAGUGCCAAAAAUACUUGUGGGUUACCCUGCUGGGAAGAUAGGUCAUUGCCAGAU